CUGUAGUGUAUUUCGGAAAAGGCGGGCCCGCCGCAGGCCUUCUUCUUCUUCCCUUGCUCCGCUCCGGCAGUUCUCCAGUCUCCACCACCGCGAUCUGCCCGUCCUCCAUUUGCGGCGGCGAUGGCGCUCUCCUCCUCCCGGCCGCACCGCCUCCUGCGACCGCUCCUCCGCGGCUUCCACGCCUCCGCGCCGGCCCUGGCGCGCGCGGAGCCGCACGAGUUCUCCAAGCCUAGCGGCUACCUGGGCAGCUGGGAGCCCGCGGGGGAGCCCCGUGAGGCGUGGGCGCGGCUGGACCGGCUGCGCAAGGGGUACGCGCGCGACGUGCAGAAGCUGCGGCGGGAGUACGCGUACGAGGUGCAGCUGAUGGAGGCCGAGCGGCAGCGGAAGGCCGAGGCGCGCGCCGAGGCCGCCCGCGUCGCCAACGAGGAGCGCAAGGCGGCCAAGGCCGCCGCCGCGCAGACCCGCGCGGCCGAGCGGCGCGCGUUCGAGGAGGACUUCCGACAGGCCCUUAUGAAAGAAAGAGCUGAGAAGCUGGAGAGCUGGCGGAAAAAGGAGAAGCUUCGGGAGCAGAAGAAGGCGGAGCAGAAGGAGCUCCUGCGCAAGAAGAGCAGUUUGUGGCUUUCUCAAGAUAAACUUGAAGAUCAAAUACUCGAUGCUAUCAGGAACACCACUCCUCUAUAAGCUUUGGUAAAUGUUGUGCAGAAAGGAAAGUACCAGAUUCUUCACUUUUCAGGAAGCCAAUGGGGUUGCACGAACCAGGAGGAUGAACAUUGCAGAGACGCCUCUGUCAUUCCCCCUGAGAAUUUUAUCAAAGGCAGCAGCCAGCAUAAUGAGUAAUAAGAUUGAACUUCCGCUUUCAGAUGUAAUGACGUGUGUUUAUUAGAUAGACUUAGAUUGGGUUUACACAAUGUGCUUUUGGUUUUUGGAAUUGAUUGCACGUUAAGGAGAUGAUGGCUCUACCCAAUUCAUGAUUGAGCAGAAAUGGUUUAUAGCUGGGUGCACUUGUGAACUGCCUCUGUCCAAAGAUGCUGAAAUCUAAUUUGCAUAGAUUGUUGGCAAGAUCUGGAUGAUACAGACAAUGCAGUCCUGAUAUAUGCCU